rnacentral:rRNA from 1 species
UAACUGCGAGUGAAGUGGGAUCAGCCCAGCACCAAGGUUCUCGGCCAUCUGGUCGAUGAACGAUGCGGUGUUUGGCACGUUCAUUGUGCGUCGGACGGAGCGACAAAGUUCCCUUGACUGGGCUCGUGCCCCGAAGCGGGUGUGAGGCCUUUAGUUGCUCGUGAGCCGGCGUAUCUCGGGCGUGUCUAGAGUCGGGUUGUUUGGGAGUACAGCCCAAAGUAGGUGGUAAACUCCAUCUAAGGCUGAAUACGUGCACGAGUCCGAUAACGAACAAGUACCGUGAGGGAAAGUUGAAAAGUACUUUGAAGAGAGAGUUCAAGAGCACGUGAAACUGCCUACAGGCAAGCGGACAGGGCCACAUGAGCCAGCUGGUCGGAUUCAGUUACGCCUGCUUGUAAUGAGUCGGUGCGCGGAUAUUGCUGGGUGGUCAAACACUCGAUGUACCGUGGAGCUGGCCUUUGCGGGUCGUUGUAUCGUACUUUCUGCCAGCCUAUGGUAGCCGCGAUCAAUUGAUCCAUGUGCCAAGUGUGUGAGUAAGUAGCCGCGAGCGCUCCUUGCGCGUGCUGUUAACGUCCGUGAACACUUGUACCUUGGACUAACCAACCUGGUUUGAUUGAGUAGCGACUGCCGUGUACACAUCAUCCGACGGCGCUUGCUGCUCUGUCCAGUUUGGUCAGUUAGUCGAGUACUGCCCAGCAGUGCUACGUUGACUAGGCUGGAUUGCAGAUGGAGUGUGUUAGCGAAUGCGAGGUGCACUGCUGGUCAGCGGCUUGUUGGUCGCCUAUCCGUCCCGUCUUGAAACACGGCCCAAGGAGUUAAACAUGUAGGCAAGUCAUUUGGUUGAAAUUGAAACCAAAAGGCGCAGUGAAAGCGCAACUAAUCGCCAAGAUCUGCUAGUCUACUGGCUGGCGGCGCAUUGGCGACUCGUCACAUUGUCGUGUGCAGGUGGCGAAGUUUGAGCCUACACGUUCAGACCCGAAAGAUGGUGAACUAUGCUCGAGCAGGAUGAAGCCAGAGGAAACUCUGGUGGAGGUCCGCAGCGAUUCUGACGUGCAAAUCGAUCGUCUGACUUGAGUAUAGGGGCGAAAGACUAAUCGAACCAUCUAGUAGCUGGUUCCCUCCGAAGUUUCCCUCAGGAUAGCUGGCACUGGAGGGCAGUUGUACUUCGAUAAAGCGAAUGAUUAGAGUGUUCUGGGUCGAAACGAUCUAAACCUAUUCUCAAACUUUAAAUGGGUACGAUCUCGAGCUCACUUAACUGGAGCUUGAGUGUGAAUGUGUGUAGUGCCAAGUGGGCCACUUUUGGUAAGCAGAACUGGCGCUGUGGGAUGAACCAAACGUCUGGUUAAGGUGCCGAACACUGACGCUCAUGAGAAACCAUAAAAGGUGUUGGUUGAUAUAGACAGCAGGACGGUGGCCAUGAAGUCGAAUCUUGGUCGACCCGUGAUUAGCGCUACU